AGAGUUUGAUCCUGGCUCAGGAUGAACGCUGGCGGCGUGCCUAACACAUGCAAGUCGAACGAAGCGCCUUGAGAGAUUCUUCGGAUGAUCUUUUGGCGACUGAGUGGCGGUCGGGUGAGUAACGCGUGGGUAACCUGCCCUGUACAGGGGGAUAACAGCCAGAAAUGGCUGCUAAUACCGCAUAAGCGCACAGGAAGACAUCUUCCGGUGUGAAAAACUCCGGUGGUACAGGAUGGGCCCGCGUCUGAUUAGCUGGUUGGCGGGGUAACGGCCCACCAAGGCGACGAUCAGUAGCCGGUCUGAGAGGAUGAACGGCCACAUUGGAACUGAGACACGGUCCAAACUCCUACGGGAGGCAGCAGUGGGGAAUAUUGCACAAUGGGGGAAACCCUGAUGCAGCAACGCCGCGUGAGUGAAGAAGUAUUUCGGUAUGUAAAGCUCUAUCAGCAGGGAAGAUGAUGACGGUACCUGACUAAGAAGCUCCGGCUAAAUACGUGCCAGCAGCCGCGGU
rnacentral:rRNA from 1 species